UGUUUUGCCACUUGUUUUGGCACAGGCUUUGACCCUUGAAGAGUGAUGUAUCUGAUUUGGUUGCAGCCAUCUGCAUUAUUAGAAGAACCCAAAACAGAAGAUGCGAGAUCAUGCACAAGAUCGUGCAUCACACAACUCUCCACAUUUCCAAUAUCAUCUCUCCCUGCAACUUGCAACAAAGAGUUUUGUAGAAGCAUAUUAAAGAACAUGUCUCCCACAGACUCCAUAUCAUCUCUUCGAUUUGGCUGAAGAAAACCUUCUGCCAUCCAUUGUUCAAUCAGCUCCUGCUUCACAAUUCUGUCACCUUUUGGGAAAAUUGAACAGUAUGUGAAGCACUUCUUGAGUGACGGUGAAGACAAAUUAUCAAAGCUCAAUCUCAAAAUUUUCGAGAUGUUAUCUCCAUCAACAUCCGUAAGCCAUCUCUGUUCGACAUCGAGCCACUCUUUUUGAGAUUUACGGCGAAGCACUCCCCCGACAACAUUGGCAGCUAAGGGCAGACCUUGACAUCUCUCGGCAAUCUUUUUCCCAAUCAUCUCCAAUCCUGAUGGUACUUGAUCUCCAUUUUCUUUGUGGAGAAGAUGAUAGCUGAGUUCAUCCACAACAUUAUCAGCAUCGAAGGCCAGCGCUUCAAGCUUCCUCAACCAGAUCUUGACAGCAUCUUGGGUGAUGGAUUUCUUCUCCGCAUCAUUCAAGUAACCCUGAAUGAUUCCCAAAGUCGUUUGCAGCUGUUGGGCAUCUUCGUCGAGACCUCGAAGUAGAGAGUGCUCUUCUUUGAAAACAUUGAUAAGGCUUUGAAGCAGAAUUUCAAUGGCUGCAGCAGACACACCUCCUCCAUCCAUGGUUUUGCAGAGAGAGAAUGCUUGUGAACUUUUUUUUUUGCGUGUGAAGAUGAUGAUUGUAAAGUUGUGGAUGACCAUUCAAACAUUAUCUCUCUUCAAUUAUAUGUGGAAAAAGGCAAAGUCAUUAAUGAUCCAGCUUCACCUUUUCGAGGAUGUUUUGUUAUUCAUUCCUUACGAGCAUGUGCAGUGUGGCUCGAUCGAACGGCUUGAGCCGGCCCUCGAAGAGCCCCACCCUAUUGCCGCACCUGGGGGCUCGAGAUAGGGUGUGAUGGGUAGAGCCCAGUUGCGUUAUGUCUCUUGGACCUAUCCAAAUUAACGGAUUCAAAAUUUACUUUUUGGAAAUUGAUUUAACUUUCAUCUUUUAAAAAUAGGAUUCUAUGUUGGAUGUAAAUAAAGCUAUAAAUUUGUACUAGCUUGUUGCAUUUCGACUGGAAUUAAUUAUUAUAUACUCCCUCCGUCCCCAAAAUAAGUUUCUCUUUUUCCAUUUUGGGACGUCCCCCAAAUAAGUUCCUCUUUCUUUCUUUCUAUUUUUGGACAACUACCCCACCACUAAUAAUACUUUAUUUAUUCUUACUUUUCACUUUUUCACCACUCCCAAUACUAAUUAUAACACUUUUUCAUCUUUUCACCACUCCCAAUACUAAUUAUAACACAUUUUUCUCCACUAUCAAUACACUUUACCAUUUUCCUUAAAACCCGUGCCGUCCCCAAAGAGGAACUUAUUUUGGGGACGGAGGGAGUAUAAACUAGUAAGGAGUCCUUCGAAAUUCGACGGGAUUCAUUAUUAUAAAUUAAUUAUAUGAUAAUAUAAAAUUAUUUAAUACCAUUUUUUAUUCAUAAAUUAGAGUAUUGAAUAAAAUAGUUUCAAAAUAAAAAAAUGUACUAUUUAUUUAAAAUUUGUCUAAAUUAGUUGUCUUAUGAAAUGUGUAUUUAAAAAGAGUAUUGACCCACAAAAUUUUAAAAGAGAAACUACAAUAUUUAUUUGAAAUUUACUUCAAUUAGAUAUUUGUAAUUGUAAUUAGUUACUGAAAAAAAAUGAAUUAAAUAAUAUCAAUAAUGACUUCAACUUACGAAGUAUAAAUAAAUUAUUAAAUUUAUUAUUACUCAUAAUCUAUCGAAAAUUUUUCAUCAUACACUCCAUGACUAAACCUAAGUUUCGAUCGGUAAUCUUACCUUUGAAAGAUACUGUCAUUGAGUCUUAUUCAACUUCCGAAAGAUCUUCAUUAUGAAAACUUUAGUUACACCCAAUAUAAAAUUUAAAUUGUGAGCUAAAUUUUGUAAAGUUAACUUAGUUGAAUAUUAAUAUAUUAAUAUAGUAACUGAUUAAUGAAAUUUGAACCUCUAAAUGUUUGUAACAUAGCAAAUUGUAAAACUAUCAUUACCGACUCUUUAUCUUCACUUGACUUGUUUUCAAUAAAUAUUAUGAGUUCAUCGACAUAUGAUUCCCACAAUACGCAAAUUACUCUUGUGUCACUGCUACGUAUAAUUAACAACAUAAUUAAGAAUAAAAUAAAAAUUCCAAAUUAUUAUUCAACGAAUAUUUGAAAAACUUAUUCUGCAUCAACCAAUGGUAUGCCACACUUUUUAGCUUAGCCAUAUUUUAUUUCUACACAAUCUAUAUAUGUUAAUAUAUAUUUUUUGUCUUGACCUCCCCAAUAAUAUAAAAUUUUUAUAUAAUAUAUUACACUUAUUCCAUACCAAUUUGGGAUUAUAUAAGUGAAUAUUUCUAAAAUUAAUGAAAUCAAAUCCAUUUUGCGAUGUCCACAUAGAAUAGUCAUAUUAUAUUUAUAGACACAAUCCUAUAAAAAUCAAUACACAUUACUUACAAAUUACAAUAUAUCAACUUAUUUACAUAUUUUAUCAUAUAUAUCCCACCAUUUGAAUUAAAGUGAAACCUUGUAUCCACUUUAACAUUAUCUCUAAAGUGGUCGUUUUCUCCACUCACAAUAUAUUAAUUACUACAAUUAUUAAAAUCAGUCAUUCUCUUUUAGUUUAUUUUUAUAAGACAUUGAGUUUUAAUUAGUUACUGAAAAUUAUUAAAAAGAUAUAUAUUGGAACUGAGGAAUUCUUUAUUGGAGAGUACGUAUAUAAGUUGUUGAAAACAUUUUAAUUAUAAGCUCAACAAAACACUCUAUUGAUUUCAUUGUUAAUUUGAAGGCUUCUGGCUGGUUAUAGACUACUUAAAUUAAUUAGACUUAUACUAUAAAUGGCGCAAUUAAAAUAAUGAUGAAAAGAAAUUCGAAUCUAUGUUUAAUCAUAAAUAGUUAUAACAAUCAUAUAUAAUUAAAUUUAUCAUAUCAUUAUAUAUAAAAAUAUUUAUAUAGAUUUUUUAAUUAAUGUAGAGUUUGAUAAGAGGGGGAGAUUGAUUAUUAGAGAUUUAGAAAGAAAAAAAUAGAAUGAAUGAGAAUUGAGAAAAAUUAGAAUAGAGUGAUUAUACGACGCCACGUAGGAUAUGAUUUAUUUUGCUUUUAUAGGAAUUCUUUAUUGGAGAGUACGUAUAUAAGUUGUUGAAAACAUUUUAAUUAUAAGCUCAACAAAACACUAUAUUGAUUUCAUUGUUAAUUUGAAGGCUUCUGGCUGGUUAUAGACUACUUAAAUUAAUUAGACUUAUAUAUACUAUAAAUGGCGCAAUUAAAAUAAUGAUGAAAAGAAAUUCGAAUCUAUGUUUAAUCAUAAAUAGUGAUAACAAUCAUAUAUAAUUAAAUUUAUCAUAUCAUUAUAUAUAUAAAUAUUUAUAUAGAGUUUUUAGUUAAUGUAGAGUUUGAUAAGAGGUGGAGAUUGAUUAGAGAAUUAGAAAAAAAUAAAUAGAANCCCAUCGUGACCACGAUGGCCGCCAUCGUGGCCAUGGUCGUGACCUCGACGGCGCCAUCGUGCCCACGAUGGGAGCCUGCCAUCGUGAAUCCGACGACGAGACCCCCGUCGUGCCACCCCGCCCCAAGCCCCCGUCGUGACCACGAUGGACGCCAUCGUGGGCCAUCGUCGUGACCUCGACGGCGCCAUCGUGCCCACGAUGGGGAGCCUGCCAUCGUGAAUCCGACGACGAGACCCCGUCGUGCCUACCCGCCCCAAGCCCCUUCGUGCCACCCGCCUCAGGCCCCUGUCGUCGUGCCCACCCUGCCCCAACCCCCGUCGUGUCCAUCCACGAUCGUUCCCCCAAUUUCAGCCGAAAAAUUCACAAAAAACACCAAAAUUCUCAAGAAAUUUUCAACAAAUCUCAACAAACUCUAGCUAUUUACCAACUAAACAUGAUUCUCAAAGCAUUAUAACACAUAUACAUGCAUUUAACAAUGAAUUUAGGCUCCAAUUUUUCAAGGGAGGCAAAAUUGGGCGAAAAUUAGGGCUCACUCACCGGAGGAGUAGGAUGUGCGAGACGCUCCUCCUCUUCGGAGCUUGUCGCCGACACCGAGUCGUCGUCGUUCCGGUCGCGGUCGCCCAUCUCGACGUCGUGACUGGAAUUCGAUCGUGUGGUGGCGCCGGUCGUGAGCGUGUCGUGAGUUGGGAGAGAGAGAGAGAAUUUGAAUUUGGGGGUGGAGGGAGGAGAGAGGAGGGGCCGAUGACUUCUCUUCUUUUUUUUUUUUUUUGCUUUUCUUUAAUGAUAUAAUGUAAGGGUAUUUUAGUCUUUUAACUGAUUUUGGUAUACAAAAGAGUUGUUUUUAAGUUGAGGCUAAAAGAGUUAUCUUUUUUAAUUUUUGGUAUUUAAAAACUCCGACCCCGUUUAGUUUUGGGUUAUUUUUAUCUAACAAAAAAUGACGAGCCCCGAAUUGUCCACAUUAAGAUUCAAGCAUUCCAAGUCAGCUUUAAUUUGAGAAAAAUGAAAAACAUGUUAAAAAUUAAAUAAGUUUAAAGUACAUGUAUUUAUAACUAUGUUUUCAAGUUUAUGUUAAAUAUUAAAAAUGAGUAAAGUUCAUGUAUUUAUAACUUGAAUUUAAAAUUCAUGUUAAAUACCAAAAAGUGAGUAAAGUACAUGUAUUUAUACACCAAUUACUCUAAAUAUAAUCACAAUAUAUAUACCUAAAUCACUGUUGUGACGGAAUAGGAUUAAAGAGCAUAAUCAAUUAAUCAAACAGAAAACGUAAAUAAGACCCCCGAAGUGCGAAGCAAGAGAUUCAAAACAUAACAACAAUCACCACUAAAUAUAAUCGCAAUAUACCUAUAUUUAAGACAUUUUUGAUAAUGCAGUAUAGUUUUCAGAUUUUAGUGAUAUUCGUCUCCUGUCAUUUUAUUUAAAAAAUAAAAAUUAUACAGUUACAUCUAGCAAAUCACGUCAACAUUCUGAAGACAUAAUAUUCUCUUAUUUAAGCUUUGAAAAUUUAAAGUUUAAAUAAAUAUUUAUUAUAAUUCGAAAUGUUUGGAUAAGGAAGUAGAGUUUAAAUUGAUAUUGCCCUAAAAUAAAUAGAAGAUAAUUAUUUAUUCAUAAUCAAUUUUAGAGUUUAUUUUAGAAUUUUGCUGAUUUGAACAUAAAGAGAAGGGUCAGUUUUUUACAAACGUAUUUCAAAAAUGUCUUGCUUCCAUUUCUGGCACCAAAACUUUUAAUGUGGCUCGUCAGUCAGAUGUUAAUGUAUAAUUUUUCUUUUUAUUUUUAAAUGAUAUUACAUAAAAUAUAUUUUGCGCCAUAUUUUUAUUUCAAUUUUGUGAAACAAAAGUUAAGUAUAAUUUAAAAUAUUAUAAUAAAUAUUAUUUUUAUAAAAAAUAUUUUUAAAAUAAUAGAUAUUAUGGAGGUUUACUAUUUUAGAUGUGUUUUCUAUUUUAGAUGUGUUUUCUAUUUUGUUGUUAAUUUAAUUUUUUAGAACAAAAAAUCAUUAUCCAUCAUUUAAUAUAAUAAAUUUCACUGUGAAAAUAAUAAUUUUAUACGUUAAGUGACUCAAGUGUAAAAUUCAGGCAUUCUAAAAAAAAAUAGAGUUCAUGUGCCAACCCCCACAUUCUAGUUAUAUUUUUUUUUCAACUUUCAGGGUCUACUUUUUAUUUUCUAGGUUUUAUGGAUUUGUUUUGAAAUUUAUAGGUUGCUUUUUAUUUUAUUUUAAAAUCAACAUAUCGAAUGCAAUAAUUAAAUCGUUCUAUUUUUAGUUGUGAAUUCACAACUACUUGAAAUCACAAUCAAAAUAAAUCAUGGUUGUGAAAUGCGUGAAUUUUUUAAAGGGUAAUUUUUUAAAUUUUUAUAUGGAAGGAAAAAAUGGUAAGUGUGGCUAAUUUUUUAAGUUUUUAUGUUAGUGGGAAAUUUUUAAAUUUACUAUUUCAAAGUGGCUAUUUUCAAAUCCACUCAAAAUAAAAACACCUCUUAAACUAUACAAUAUGAUCUAUUUUCAAUCCUUAAAUUAUCAAGAUCUACAAUUAAUUUAUCAUUUUAUUGGAUGAAUUCAUGGUCCUGAGUUCGAAUCUCAUAGAUAACAAAAAAUUUAUCUUUUGCAAUUCAGACAUUUACACAAAAAAUUCAAACGUGUUCUACAUAGAAUUAAUACAUUUUAGCUAGUUCAUAUUUUAUAUAUUAAGAAGUGUUUAUACCCCUAACCCUCCCACCCACACACAUACAUAUAUAUAUAUAUAUAUAUAUAUAUAUAUAUAUAUAUAUAUAUAUAUAUAUAUAGGAAGAGGUUCUAAUAAAAACCUCUUUUAACAUGAGAACUAGGAACCACAUCUUAGCCUUUAAAUUUGAAGAUCUAAUGGAUAGGAUUAAUUUAAAAAAACUAACGCCUAAAAUGAGGUUAGUAAUUGUUGACAUCCGUUUUUUUUCCUUUUCAAUUACUAAAAGGUUACAUUUGUCUUUUAACAAUUACUUAAUUAAUCCUCCAUAGGGAAAGCACGAUUUGGAUUACACUUUACCACGAUUUGGAUUACACUUUUAACAAUUAUUUAAUUAAACCUCUAUGAUAUGCAGGAUUUGGAUUACCUAAUUAAACCUAGAUGAUAUUCAAGAAAUCUAUGCAUUUUUAGGUAGUCGUGUGUGUCUUCUUUUCGCUUCUAAUCUUUUAUUUUCUGUUCUUAAUUUUCUCUCAUUCUUUCUCCAAGUCUUCUUUAUUCUUCCAUACUCUUAAUAUCAAUUAUUUUUUAUGACAGUUGUACCAGUAUUUAUACACGAUGAACACUGAAGGUAUUUAUUAAUUUAAUUGUAUUAUUUUUUUUGUUGAUUAAUUUAAUUUAUUUAUUUUCGAUUUUUUUAAAAAGAUUUUAUGUUUAUUUGAUUUUGAGGAAGUUGUUCUUUUGCAGUGUUAAUUGUUUAUGUAUUGCACAAAAUAUUUGUAGUAUUUUAGUUGCAUAGUUUUUAUUUUAAAUGCAUAGAUUUUUAUGCAUAGAUGUUUGAUUUGGUUUUAUUUGAUUUGAAAUUGAGAUAUGCACGAUUUGACUUCACCCGAUUCUGGCCGAUUGUGUUAAUUUCUGUAAAAUUUAGUAGAUGAUGGGUGUUGUUGAUUUGCAUAGAUGAAAGAUGGUGAUGCAUAGAUGUUGGAUUGUGUUUCAUAGUUAUCAUUUUGUUUGAUUUGCAUAGGUGAAUGAUUAUGAUGCAUAGAUUGUUAUGCGUAGGUGUAAAUAAGUAUUAAUUUUAGUUGCAUAUUUUUUAUUUUAAAUGCUCCAAUUCGAAUUAAUAAAAAAAAUGCCAAGAUUUAUUUACUGCAUACAUAAAAUAGUGUGUUGCAUAUUUGAAGCUUUGCAUACAUAAAAUAGUGUGUUGCAUAUUUGAAGCUUAAUUUGCAUAAACCAUUGUAUUUAAUUUUGAAUUUGUUUCUGACAAUUUAUUGCAUUGUAAUGCAUAUAAUUGUAACCCCAAACCAACAUCUAUGCACUGCCAACUUCAAAAUAAUUAUUGUUUUCCGCUCAAUCCGCUGGAGUAAGUUAAGCUCCUGCUUCUUUUUUUGUUUUCUAGCACAAAAAUUCGUUGUUUUGCAUAGAAGAUCACCAGAAGGAAAAAACAAAAAAGUAGUUGAAAUUAUGGAAGAACUAAUAAGAUCCACUGCACAACAAUAUUACGUUACGUACUCCAAUUUAUGCCUUCAUAUAUAACAGAAAUAUAAAAUGAGAAUCUGAAUCCAAAUGUAACAAGCUCCCGAUAUCACACGUCUCAAUCACCAAAACACACAAUUAAGUAUUCAACUAAUUAAUUUAAACUUGGUUAAUAGUUAGGGCUAGUUAAUUUCCCCUGAUGAAGUCAAUGAAUUAAGAAGACGAUGAUUAUCGCUCAAAACCUCCUCUUCUCUCUCUUGAUACUCUCUCUCCAAUAUUUCUUGGAAACCUCUGUUGCUUCUAACAGCAGCCAUUGCAGCCCCUCUAGCUGUGGCAUUCUUGGCAAUAUUUGGCCCCCUUUCCGCCUCAAGAAUGACCCCAACAAUUGCGGCAAUCCCAUGUUAGAACUAGGCUGCGAAAACAACAUAGCCUCAAUGUACAUGAACUCACAAAAAUACCUUAUAAUUAUAAUGCAUAUAAUUGUAAACCCAAACCAACAUCUAUGCACUGCCAACUUCAAAAUAUGUAACCCCACUAACAAAAACAGAACAAAAACAUUUCAAUUUGGCUAUCUAUACAUCAAUACCCAACAUAUAUGCAUCACAACCUCAAUGCUUCAAUUUUUCCCAUUUAUGCAUAAAUAUCCAACAUCUAUGCAUCACAAUGCUUCAUCUAUGAAAAUCAAACAAAACCUAUCAAAUAAUCGCAAUAAAUUAUAACUAUGCAACCCAAUCCAACAUCUAUGCACUAACAACUUCAAAAAAUGUAACAAAAACAGAACUACGCACGUUUCAUUUGUAUAUCUAUGCAUCACGCUCCAACAUCUAUGCAUCACAACCAUAGAAUAUAAAAAAAAAAAAAACGUACUAAUUUUUGCCAUUUAUACUACACANNNNNNNNNNNNNNNNNNNNNNNNNNNNNNNNNNNNNNNNNNNNNNNNNNNNNNNNNNNNNNNNNNNNNNNNNNNNNNNNNNNNNNNNNNNNNNNNNNNNNNNNNNNNNNNNNNNNNNNNNNNNNNNNNNNNNNNNNNNNNNNNNNNNNNNNNNNNNNNNNNNNNNNNNNNNNNNNNNNNNNNNNNNNNNNNNNNNNNNNNNNNNNNNNNNNNNNNNNNNNNNNNNNNNNNNNNNNNNNNNNNNNNNNNNNNNNNNNNNNNNNNNNNNNNNNNNNNNNNNNNNNNNNNNNNNNNNNNNNNNNNNNNNNNNNNNNNNNNNNNNNNNNNNNNNNNNNNNNNNNNNNNNNNNNNNNNNNNNNNNNNNNNNNNNNNNNNNNNNNNNNNNNNNNNNNNNNNNNNNNNNNNNNNNNNNNNNNNNNNNNNNNNNNNNNNNNNNNNNNNNNNNNNNNNNNNNNNNNNNNNNNNNNNNNNNNNNNNNNNNNNNNNNNNNNNNNNNNNNNNNNNNNNNNNNNNNNNNNNNNNNNNNNNNNNNNNNNNNNNNNNNNNNNNNNNNNNNNNNNNNNNNNNNNNNNNNNNNNNNNNNNNNNNNNNNNNNNNNNNNNNNNNCCAAACUAGCAAUUAAUCUAAAUAUAGAUUACUUUUAUUAUUAGAGUCAAUUACAUACUAUAUUUUUGCAUGGGGUGGUAUCAUCCAAACUAGCAAUUUAAUUCUUCUACGGAAAGUUAACGGAACAUAUAUAUUUUUUAAUGUAGUGAUGAUUUCAUCAGAUAGAUUUUUUUAUCUAAAUCUAAUAAUUUAGAUAUUCGUGUAUACUUUUUAAAAAAGUUUAUAAAUGAAUACAUUCUUUUAAAUAUGUAGUAGAAUAGAAGCUUACUUGCUGCAAGGUUUAAUUUUGCGGCCGUCAAGCCAGACGGUGAGAUUGGGAAAGUUGUUGUGCCACUCUGCAGGAAUAGGAUCAAUGCCUAAUUCCCCACAAUUGACAAUCCAUAAUUUCUCCAAUGCAUCCCCCCAGCAAGAGGGCAGACGCCUCAACUUGUUGCAUCUAAUCAGACGUAACCACCGUAGAGAUGGAAGGUUCCCCAACCAUUCAGGCAAUUCUUCUACCCCUAAAUUAUGUAACGCUAACCCAUUAAGAGCCGUGAGAUGUUGAAUUGAUUCUGGUAACCACUCCCAAUUUUCCACCCCUCUUAAGUGCAAGUAAGUAAGUGAGUUGCAGCAUCCUUGCAAUAAGGCAUCCACAGUCUGUUUAAUGCCAACACUACUCUCCAUUGACCACUCCAAACUCACAUCUAUCACUAACAUCUUAAGCACCCUAAACCCCAACACUUGACACUAUCAAUAGGAACACCAACAAUUCUCAAAUUCUGAGACUCACUGCUUUAGCGAGGCAGUCAAUUACCAUCGGCAGAUUCUUUAGGCUGCUUAAUCCCCUCAACGUGAGAUCCUCGAUUGUUGGCGCCCAUGACUCUAGCAUUUGACGUGGCAAAACCAUCAACCCUUCGCACAUUGAAAUCGUGAGCUGACGAAGGAUUCCUUGUGAUUGUCCUUCUCUGCCACUUGGAUUCCCUAUUGACUUCACAUUUCGACAAUAAUAUAUACCCAACCUCUCCAGAGAAUUGAGGGUGUCCAGUCCAUCUGGUAAUUCUCUCAACCUGGGGCAUCCACUUAUCUCCAACUCUGAUAGAUUCUGAUUCUUAUAGAAUAACCAAUCUGGCAGACAUUCCAAUCCCUCCAAGUCUUCUAUAUUGAGGGAUAUUAAUUUAGAAAAUGAAGAAUUUAUGAACCUCAGCUUCUCCAAUCCUAUCAAAGAAAGAGAUUUGAGAUUUGGCAAGUGCUCCAGCUGUGGGAUUUCCUCACAUUCUGAGCACCUCUUGAGUGUUAUCUCAAUCAAGUUUUGAAGUGGUACCCAAGAGGCUUGAGGCCCAUCCCGUACUGCCAUCUUCUCAAUCCAUUCUGGAAAUCUUUUGCCUUUGAAUCCUUUAAUCUCUAACUUCUUCAGAUUGGCAUUUGCAUGAGGUUGGAGGCCUUCCAACACACUGUCGUCAUUUCUUUCACCUUCUCUCUCCUCAUCCCAUUCAAACCCCAAAUCAAAUAAGUUUGGCUUCUCAAAUAUCUUUGCUUUCUCUGCCUCUUCUUUGCCCUGCACCUUUUCCAAACUACUAAUCACUAGUUGUCCUUUGAGAUUCUUCAAACUUCCGAGCUCUUCAAUUUGAUAGCCCUUGUUGUCACCCACUUUAAAGUGCCUUAGUGUUUGGAGACAACUUAAUCUCCCAAUCUCCGCAGGCAACUUCACAUCAUCAUCGAUAUAGAGAUGCCUUAAGUUAAUCAAGUACUUUAACGUACUUGGCAGAAACAGCCUAUUCCCCCACCUCCUGUCGGCUCUUAAUGUUUGCAAGUGAUGGAAUUCACUAAUCCAGUCUGGCAAAUUCUUAAUUCCCGUAUUUGAAAUAUCAAGAUUUCUCAAAUGUAUCAUCUUCCUAACUGAAUUGGGCAACUCUUCAACUCCAUAACGCUUAAGAGUAAGAACAUGCAGACUUUCCAAGUUACCCGGAAUUUCAUCACCUUCCAAGAACAAUGUACGCAAAUGUUUUGCCACUUGUUUUGGCACAGGCUUUGACCCUUGAAGAGUGAUGUAUCUGAUUUGGUUGCAGCCAUCUGCAUUAUUAGAACCACCCAAAACAGAAGAUGCCAGAUCAUGCACAAGAUCGUGCAUCACACAACUCUCCACAUUUCCAAUAUCAUCUCUCCCUGCAACUUGCAACAAAGAGUUUUGUAGAAGCAUAUUAAAGAACAUCUCGCCCACAGACUCCAUAUCAUCUCUUCCAUUUGGCUCAAGAAAACCUUCUGCCAUCCAUUGUUCGAUCAGCUUCUGCUUCACAAUCUUUCCACCUUUUGGGAAAAUUGAACAGUAUGUGAAACACUUCUUGAGAGAUGGUGAAGACAAAUUAUCAAAGCUCAAUCUCAAAAUUUUCGAGAUGUUAUCUCCAUCAACAUCUGUAAGCCAUCUUUGUUCGACUUCGAGCCACUCUUCUUGAGAUUUACAGCGAAGCACUCCCCCGACCACAUUGGCAGCUAAGGGCAAACCUUUACAUCUUUUUGCAAUCUUUUUUCCAAUCAUCUCGAAUCCUGAUGGCACUUCUCCAUUUUCAUCAAAAGUCUUAGCUUUGAUUAUGGACCAGCAAUCUUCAUCUGAUAAGCCUGUUAACAUAUGAAUGUCAAUUGGCUUCACAGUUGAAGCAACCUUUUGACUCCUGGUAGUGAUGAUGAUGCCAUUUCCUUUAGUAGAAGUUACUCCCGACAGAGAAUUUAUAAAGCCUUCCCAUGUCGGAACAUCUUGAUUCCAUAUAUCAUCAAGAACAAGAAGAUAAGUUUUAGUCUUGAGAGUUUCUUGAAGCUUUUCAAGAAUAUCUUCUCUGCUCUCAACUCCAUCAAUACUCUUUCUAGUUUCCAGGAUAUCAUCAUCUCUGCUCUCAACUCCAUCUCCAUCAGCAGUGUUUUUAGCCAUCUUGAAAAGUAUUUUCUUGAAAAGAAGAAUUGGAUCAAAAGUUUGAGAAACAUGAACCCAAAGCCGUGAUCCAAAUCGAGUCUUCAUUUUUUCAUGAUUGAAGACUUUCCUAGUCAACGUAGUUUUCCCCAUACCUCCCAUUCCGACAAGAGCAAGGAUAGAGAAGAUCCGCUCCUGUGGGUGGGUCUGGGUGAGCAUCUCAACAAGUUUAGGCACAUCAUCAUCUCUUCCAAUAAAGAUUGGAUCAAGAGAGAAUGAAUCAGUCUCAAAGGAAGCAUUCAGAGCAGCAGUAGGUGCAUUCACUACUAUGCUCUGAAGGCCGAGCUCGGUUGCCCUUUUGUUCAUAUUCUCAAAACUCGUAUUGAUUUGUUUGAUUCUAAGAGCCAUAUUUCGUGGGCGUGAGAUGUGAUUCAAGGAUGAGAAGCAUGAUAGUACCUUAUCCUUGCGUGACAUCAUUUUGUUGACUUUUUUGUGGAGAAGAUGAUAGUUGAGUUCAUCCACAACAUUAUCAGCAUCGAAGGCCAGUGCUUCAAGCUUCCUCAACCAGAUCUUGACAGCAUCUUGGGAGAUGGAUUUCUUCUCCGCAUCAUUCAAGUAACCCUGAAUGAUUCCCAAAGUCGUUUGCAGCUGUUGGGCAUCUUCGUCGAGACCUCGAAGUAGAGAGUGCUCUUCUUUGAAAACAUUGAUAAGGCUUUGAAGCAGAAUUUCAAUGGCUGCAGCAGACACACCUCCUCCAUCCAUGGUUUGCAGAGAGAGAAUGCUUGUGAACUUUUUUUUUUGUGUGUGAAGAUGAUGAUUGUAAAGUUGUAGAUGACCAUUCAAACAUUAUCUCUCUUCAAUUAUGUACUCACGGGUCGCCAGGAGUGAGCAAAAUCAGGUUAACUCCGAAAAUUUGAACUGAACCUAAUUGAAAUAUUAAUUGGGUUCGGUUAAUUUGGUUUUCGGUUCGGUUUCGGUUUUGAAUUUUGAAAUUUUUGAUUUUUUUUUUAUAUUUCGGUUAUGGCUUUUAAGAAAAAAUAUUUGGUUUACCGAAAAUCGAACCAAAAUAAUAAUUAAUUUAAUAAUUUAUACAUAUUAUUUAAAAAUUAAAAUGAUUAUUAUUACUAUUUCGUAAAAUAGUCAAUAAUUACUCUUAAUUUAUACUCUUAAUUUUGGUCAAUUUAAAAAAAUUAAAGUAAUUUUUCAAUAAUUACUCUUAAUUUAUACUCCUAAUCUUUGGUUAAGAUGUUAUCAAAUUUUGAAUUAUUAUUUUUUACAUAUUUCGAAUCUUGUAUAUUGAAUGUUAAUUAGUUAUUUAAAUAUUACUCCCUCCGUCCCACUCUAAAUGUCCCAUUUGCCAUUUUGGGUUGUCCCACUCCAAAUGACCCAUUCCCUUUUUGGCAAAAGACUCUCUCUCUAUACCUAAUAUUUAAAUAAUUUCCACCAACCCACUUUAUCUACUUUAUACCCACUUUAUCUACUUUUUACACCUUUCUUAAUCUCCGUGCCCAAAAGAAAGGAGACAUUUGAAGCGGGACGGAGGGAGUAAAAAAUAUAUUGUGUACUUAUUUCGGUUAUUUGGUUUUAACCGAAACCGAACUGAAAUAUUUCGGGUCGAUUUUGUUCGGUUUUAAGCAUGUUUAGUUCGAAUUUGAAUACUAAUUAUAUAAUUCGAUUUUAAUUUAAUUUUUGUUAUUCGGUUCGGUUCGCUGACCGAAUGCUCACNGAAGAACACCGCGAGAAGGGAACAAUCCCACCCUCUACAUUUUAACUCUCAAUUCGACUCCACUAAAACAUAAAUAAAACUCCUAUUUAUAAUAAAACCCUAAACAUCUAAAAGGAAACAAACUAACUUGACCAACAAGACAAGUCAAUAAUUAAUUAAAGAUAUAAUAUAUUAUACGAUUCUAUCUUCAUCACUUUACCAUGUGGAGAUAUCUUUGGUGUUUAUUUCUGAAUUUGUGAUGCAUUUUGUCUUAGUGGCUGUAACACAGAGAAUUAGGUUUAUUGGCCCACUAACAUCUCUCAAUCUCCCCCUCUCUGUGGGAAGAAAACAAUCUUUUUCAAUGAGUUAUUUGAGCUGUAUUUUCUUUAAUAAAAUGAGAAUCUCUAUCAGAACAACAGUUAAAUGGCUUUGUUUCUGUUUGCUAUAAUAUUGCGCUUUCCAACUGGGAGUUUAUACAUUUCUCUUAACUCCUACUGUGACUUUCUGAAAGGUAAUGAAUGCGAAGUUCAAUAUAAGAUUAUGUUCUUGGGCUCUAGUCUCUUGGUCCUUUCUGUUAUAUUUUCUAUGAAUUAUUCCCUUUCAAUUAUGAAGGAUUAUUAUGCCAUGAUCAAAUUUGCCAUACGUGUGCCCAUCUGUUUUUCUAUCCUUGGGUUACUAUUCUCUGAACAUUCUUUUUUUGGGUUUAUUAGAGGUUUGCAAAUCCAUUUUUGGCAUUUCUAAUGUUUGUGCCAUUGCCAUGCUCAAUUGUUUCAAUUCUUUCCAUAUAGCAAGGAAACGAUGCACCAAAAAGGGUUGUUUUUCAGCAGACAAUAGGUACAUUUGGAUCAACCCAUAUUAAUUAUCAGUCGCACACUGAGUUGGUCGUGUGGUUAUUCAGUGGCAUCAAAGUGUUACAUAUGUGCAUGUUGUAUAGCUCUCCGUUCAUCGCGUGAAAUGGCAGGUAAUUCAGUUAGGAGUUGUGAUAAAUUAAAUUCAUGAAAACUGCUUGCAAUAUUUGAAUGAUGCUAAUGUACUAGUGGACUAUAGGUCUGGUCAUUGAAGUAGCUAUGAUUUUAUUUACAGAGGAAUGUUAGCAUACACACCAUCAUGUGCAUCUCCAUCAACACCUAGACCUAGUGUAUUGGAUUGGAUCAUUAUUUCAAAAUGAAUAUACUCAUGCAUCUCCUGCUCCGGUUCCAGCGGUCGCUGGGUUGCUCCAGUUCCAGCGGUAGCUGGGCUCCAGCCGGCGCUGGAUUGCUGCCUUCCUAAUUCCUAUCAAGUCAAUGAAAAUCCAUGAAAAUUAAUAUAAAAAAAGUCACCAAAACUCUGCAUAAAGUCUAUUGAUUUUUUAAACCCACAAAAAUCAAUAGACUUUUUAAAAUCCAAAAAAAUAUAACAGAAUCCCAAACCAAUACACCCCCUAAGAAUUUCUGUUAUUACAAUCAUGGAUUUCACACCUCAUUGGAACAAAUACUAGUGUUUGUGAUACAAUCCAUACUUGGUGAAGCCAGUUACACAUUUAGCAUCAAAAUUUAACAUUAGCCUCACGCUGCUCUGCCACCAUAGAGGAAAGCAAUAAAUAAUUGCUGCUUAUCUUUUGUCGCAUAUUAUUCAAAUUAGCAAUUCCGUAGUGAUGAUUUUAAUUCGUUCCUUAUAACACCAUACAUCCAACGUCAAAUUUUAAGGCAAGUUUGCGUGUGUUGGUAUAAUAAUAGUAUGGUUAAUGUUUGAAGCCAAAAUUUUUAAGUUCGAGUCAUUUGUCGUACAACUUUUAAACUUAUUUGUUCAUUCACAAAAAAUAAAAAAAAAUAGUUAGACAAGUUUGAUUUUCAAGGAAUAUUUAGGUAGCUGUCUACAAAGUGUCCAAUAAAUGAGUUUCAUAAAGCAAAUAAGAUAUAUAUAUACAUCACAAAUUUCUUACAUUCUAUUUCAUCAUCAAUCUAUCAUGUUUUCCUUUAAAUAAAUAAAUAAAUCUAUCAUAUUUCAUUUCAUGCCAUCCGUGUUCUUAACUACUUUCAUGGCUUGAAUUAAAGCUACUUCAACAGCUUAUGUGUCCUCAAAAGAUUGAUAUGAAAUUCAUAUUUAUUUUCUAAAUUUUAUUUUUACAUAAUUAAUUUUAAAUUCCACGAAUUAUAGCAAAAUUAAACUUUUAAGAAAAAAACAACCUCAACAAAGAAAGAAAAAUGAAACUUACUUGCUGCAAGGUUUAAUCUGGCGGCCGUCAACCCAGAUGGUGAGAUUGGGAGAGUUGUUGUGCCACUCUGCAGGAUCAAUGUGUAAUUCUCCACAAUCUUCGAUAUAUAAAACCUCCAAUGCAUCCCAGCAAGAGGGCAGAUGCCUCAACUUGUUGCAACUAUUUAGAGUUAAGCUCCGUAGGGAUGGAAGGUUCCCCAACCAUUCAGGCAAUUCUUCUACCCCUAAAUUAUGCAAGUUUAACACAUUAAGAGCUGUGAGAUGUUGAAUUGAUUCUGGUAACCACUCCCAAUUUUGCACCCCUCUUAAGGUGAAAUUAGUAAGUGAGUUGCAGCAUCCUUGCAAUAAGGCAUCCACAGGCUCUUUCAUGCCAACACUACUCUCCAUUGACAACUCCUCACUCACAUCUAUCACUAAUUCUCUUGAGCAGCCUAAAGCCCAAAUCUUGACACUAGCAAUCGGAACACCAACAAUUUUCAAAUUUGUGAGAUGAGCUGCCUUAGCGAGGCAGUCAACUACCAUCGGCAGAUUCUUUAGGCUGCUUAAUCCCUUCAAUUCGAGACACUCGAUUGUUGGCGCCCAUGACUCUAGCAUUUGACGUGGCAAAACCAUCAACCCUUGGCACCUUUCAAUCACGAGUUCGCGUAGGAUUCCUUGUGAUUGUCCUUCUCUGCCACUUGGAUUCCCUAUUGACUUCAGAUUUGGACAAUCAUGUAUAACCAACUUCUCCAGAGAAUUGAGGGUGUCCAGUCCAUCUGGUAAUUCUCUCAACUUGGGGCAUUGCCUUAUCUCCAAAUUUGAGAGAUUCUGAUUGUUAUAAAACAACCAAUCUGGCAGACAUUCCAAUCCCUCUAAGCAUUCUAUAUUGAGGGACAUUAAUUUAGAAAAUGAAGAAUUUAUGAACCUCACCUUCUUCAAUGAAUCCAAAGAAAGAAAUUUGAGAUUUGGCAAGUGCUCCAGCUGUGGGAUUUCCUCACAUUCUGAGCAGAAGGAGAGUGUUAUCUGAAUCAAGUUUUCAAGUGGUAGCCAAGAGGCUUGAGGUCCAUCCCGUACUGCCAUCUUCUCAAUCCAUUCUGGAAAUCUUUUGCCUUUGAAUCCAUAAAUCUCUAACUUCUUCAGAUUGGCAUUUGCAUGAGGCUGGAGGCCUUCCAACACACUCUCCUCAUCACUUCUUUCACCUUCUCUGACAGAACCACAUUGAAACAUCAAAUCAAAUAACUUCGGCAUCCCAAAAUAACCCCAUUGAAACCUCAAAUCAAAUAAGUUUGGCUUCUCAAAUAUCUUUGCUUUCUCUGCUUCUUCUUUGCCAUGCACCUUUUCCAAACUACUAAUCACUAGUUUUCCUUUGAGAUUCUUCAAACUUCCAAGCUCUUCAAUUCGAUGGCCCUUCUUGUCACCAACUCUAAAGUGCCUUAGUGUUUGGAGACAAGUUAAUCUCCCAAUCUCCGCUGGCAAAUCUAUACUGUCGUUGAUAUAGAGAUGCCUUAAGUUAAUCAAGUACUUUAACGUACUUGGCAGAAGAAUCGAUCUAUUCCACCUCAACCUUCUCUCGGCUCUCUCGGCUCUUAAUGUUUGCAAAUGAUGGAAUUCACUAAUCCAGUCUGGCAAAUUCUCAAUUUCUGUAUUUGAAAUAUCAAGAUUUCUCAAAUGUAUCAACUUCCUUACUGAAUUGGGCAACUCUUUAACCCCAUCACUCUUAAGAGUAAGAACAUGCAGACUUUCCAAGUUGGACAACAUGUUACCCGAAAUUUCUUCACCUUCCGAGAACAAUGUACGCAAAUGUUUUGGGGUAGGUUCUGAUCCAUCUUCAUCAUUAGAAGAACCCAAAACAGAAGAUGCCAGAUCAUGCACAAGAUCGUGCAUCACACAACUCUCCACAUUUCCAAUAUCAUCUCUCCCUGCAACUUGCAACAAAGAGUUUUGUAAAAGCAUAUUAAAGAACAUGUCGCCCACGGACUCCAUAUCAUCUCUUCGAUUUGGCUGAAGAAAACCUUCUGCCAUCCAUUGUUCAAUCAGCUCCUGCUUCACAAUUUUGCCACCUUUUGGGAAAAUUGAACAGUAUGUGAAGCACUUCUUGAGUGACGGUGAAGACAAAUUAUCAUAGCUCAAUCUCAAAAUUUUCGAGAUGUUAUCUCCGUCAACAUCUGUAAGCCAUCUCUGUUUGACUUCGAGCCACUCUUCUUGAGAUUUACAGCGAAGCACUCCCCCGACCACAUUGGCAGCUAAGGGCAAACCUUUACAUCUUUUUGCAAUCUUUUUUCCAAUCAUUUCCAAGCCUGAUGGAACUUCACUAUUUUCAUCAAAAGUUUUAACUUUGAUUAUGGACCAGCAAUCUUCAUCUAAUAAGCCUUUUAACAUAUGAAUGUCAAGUGGGUUCACAAUUGAAGCAACCUUCUCAUUCCUGGUAGUGAUGAUGAUGCCAUUUCCUUUAGUAGAAGUUACUCCCGACAAAGAAUUUAUAAAGCCUUCCCAUGUCGGAACAUCUUGAUUCCAUAUAUCAUCAAGAACAAGAAGAUAAGUUUUAGCUUUCAAAGCUUCUU
rnacentral:lncRNA from 1 species